rnacentral:lncRNA from 1 species
GCAUUUUCUUGAUCUUCUCUCCUGAGUGACAGCUGUUGGCACCCUGCAAGCACGGGAAUUUGCUGGCGUAUUGUGGGUCAGAAAGAGAAGAUGAUGGAGAAGAGCAGAAAAGCCAGGAAAAAAAAUGAAGAAUUCCAAGCUGCUCUAGAGACAAAUUGUGGGUACAGAAGAACACAGCUGAAGAAAAAACUGCCCUGUGUAGUUGAAGAAACAACUGUGUUGGAAGAGAGAUAAUUACCUUUUUCUAAGUCAGUGAGGAUGGUAAUUUUUUCUGCUUAGUGUUUCAUGUAUGUGUGAAAUCACUGCUUUAGCAUGUGCUCUCUGAGAUGCAGAAGAAAACAUAGUUCUGGCUAGAGCACAUAUAACUAGUUGGAUAAAAACAUGCAGUGUCAGGAUGCCCUGGAUACCCUUUGGAAAAUUCAUUUUACCCUUGUGCCAGCUUUCUCUCAUCUAUGCAAAAGCUGUCAGGCACCAUUACUGAUUUAGGAGAUUAACACAUACAAUUCAU